AGCCAGGUGGCGCAGUGGUUAGCACACCGGACUCGCAAUCGGGAGGACGCCGGUUCAAACCCGGGUCCGGCCA